CGUCAUCGAGGGAGGCCUCAACGUCACGCUCACCAUCCGGCUGCUCAUGCACGGAAAGGAGGUCGGCAGCAUCAUUGGGAAGAAAGGGGAGUCCGUGAAGAAGAUGCGCGAGGAGGUGAGUGCCG